UACUUUUCAGCAUCAUUGACUUACUUAACUAAAUCAUUUAUUUAGUUAAGUAGUUCAGUGUACAAUUUUUUUUUUUUUUGCUCAGUGUAACAGCUAGUUAUAGCUCAGAUUAGAGUUGCAUAUUGAUUUUAUUCUAGAAAAUGUGUAUGAAAUGGACUGAACUUCAAGUACCAAAAACUGGAAAACGCAGAGCAGAAGAAAGUACAGCAGAACAUAGCUGCAUAUGUAAGAAUUAUUCCCCUUUCUGUAGCAAUUUUUUCACUUGUUCUCCUUUUCAUUUGGGAAGUCAUUCUCCUGCUAGUGAGGGUACUAGUCUAAUAUAUGAAAGUAAAAAUAACCUUUUUCCUACUUAAUUUAUUGAAUUUUAAUCUUUCCAAAUCAGACAAAACAGAAAUGAGUGCCUUUCCCAUCCAAGGCCUAUACACUAAAUCAUCACUUGCAGAAGACUUGUAAAUUUUCAUGGAAAGAAUGUGACUAAGCACAUUUUCUUAAGAGAAGAUUUUUGAGUUAUUUCUUACACAAAUUUUUGCUCACUGCCUUGUUUCUCCUGUCUCCAAGGAAAUCUUUGCUGUUUGUGGCUCAAAUUGCUUUUUCUUUAUUGGAUGUUUUGCUUGUUAUUUAAUUUAUACGAAUGCAAAAAUAUUGAAAAAUUGUUCACAUUAAAUUGAUUUCUUCCACUCUUAGCUACACCUGCAGAAUGUGACUCCAGGAGAAACAACAGAAGCGCUUUCUCUGGAUAGCAGGAAUAUUCAUUUACAGACAUUGUGUGCCACUGGAUGUCACCAGCGUUUCAACACUUGAGAAAUUUGGACUUCAUCAGUGGACCAGAAAAUUAUUUUGUGAUUUUGCAGGACCAAAGCCUGACCCUUUCUGAUAACAUGGUUUCAGAUUUUGACUUACAGAGACAAGACUUUGAAUGAAGUUACCAAACAGACCCCAGGAAGAUCAUCAAGAGAUUCCUUUUAAAUGGAAACAAACAUACCUACAGGAAGGAAGUGAAGAGAAAGGAAACAUUCUAUGGAGUAUGUCAAUCUGUAGAUUAAUUAAUACAUUGAUUCCAUUUGAGAGUCUGUAUGUACCUGUCUUCCCACUGAGAUAUCUACUAUGCAAUCAGUGGUAAUUUGAAAAUCAAUUGCUCUUUUGUAGUAAUUAAAUUUGUCCAUCUAAACAGAUAUAAUUGAUAGAGCCUACAAUUCAUUUCAAGGCAGUGAUGCUUAAGGAAUCCUAGAGAUAACGGAUGUAAGCUACCAAACUGGGAGGUUUUACCCAACAAAUGACAGUCAAAAUUAACAGUUUUGUAUUGGUUUUAAAUAUAACAUAGUAGAUAUGAAAUCUGAAUUGAAAUAUACUGCUAAAGUAAAAUAUAUUUUUAGACAAGGAAAAAAAGCUGAUAGAAGUGACUGUAUUUAGACAAAAUUAUAUCUUAUAGAAUUACG